GGCUGCAGUAGGGAAUAUUGCUCAAUGGGGGAAACCCUGAAGCAGCAACGCCGCGUGGAGGAUGAAGGUUUUCGGAUUGUAAACUCCUUUUGUUAGAGAAGAUAAUGACGGUAUCUAACGAAUAAGCACCGGCUAACUCCGUGCCAGCAGCCGCGGUAAUACGGAGGGUGCAAGCGUUACUCGGAAUCACUGGGCGUAAAGAGCGCGUAGGCGGGAUAGCAAGUCAGAUGUGAAAUCCUAUGGCUUAACCAUAGAACUGCAUUUGAAACUGUUAUUCUAGAGUAUGGGAGAGGUAGGUGGAAUUCUUGGUGUAGGGGUAAAAUCCGUAGAGAUCAAGAGGAAUACUCAUUGCGAAGGCGACCUGCUAGAACAUAACUGACGCUGAUGCGCGAAAGCGUGGGGAGCAAACAGGAUUAGAUACCCU
rnacentral:rRNA from 1 species